rnacentral:rRNA from 1 species
UGGGAUAACUUCGGGAAACCGGGGCUAAUGCCGGAUAAUAUUUAGAACCGCAUGGUUCUAAAGUGAAAGAUGGUUUUGCUAUCACUUAUAGAUGGACCCGCGCCGUAUUAGCUAGUUGGUGGGGUAAUGGCUUACCAAGGCAACGAUACGUAGCCGACCUGAGAGGGUGAUCGGCCACACUGGAACUGAGACACGGUCCAGACUCCUACGGGAGGCAGCAGUAGGGAAUCUUCCGCAAUGGGCGAAAGCCUGACGGAGCAACGCCGCGUGAGUGAUGAAGGUCUUCGGAUCGUAAAACUCUGUUAUUAGGGAAGAACAAAUGUGUAAGUAACUGUGCACGUCUUGACGGUACCUAAUCAGAAAGCCACGGCUAACUACGUGCCAGCAGCCGCGGUAAUACGUAGGUGGCAAGCGUUAUCCGGAAUUAUUGGGCGUAAAGCGCGCGUAGGCGGUUUCUUAAGUCUGAUGUGAAAGCCCACGGCUCAACCGUGGAGGGUCAUUGGAAACUGGGAAACUUGAGUGCAGAAGAGGAAAGUGGAAUUCCAUGUGUAGCGGUGAAAUGCGCAGAGAUAUGGAGGAACACCAGUGGCGAAGGCGACUUUCUGGUCUGUAACUGACGCUGAUGUGCGAAAGCGUGGGGAUCAAACAGGAUUAGAUACCCUGGUAGUCCACGCCGUAAACGAUGAGUGCUAAGUGUUAGGGGGUUCCCGCCCCUUAGUGCUGCAGCUAAC